AGCCCCGCCCCGGAGGCCGCCGUGCCCCCGGACCGGGCGGGGGAGAGCGGGGACGCGGAGCUGGGGACACGGAUCGCGUUCCGGAAAGUCACCGCUCUGCCGCCUUUGAUUUUUUAAAAAUCUUUUUAAACUCUUUUAAAACUUUUUUUUUUCCCUCCCUUUUAUUUUAUUUAUUUUAUUUUAUUUUAUCAGAGCUCAACGUCUCCUUUCGCAACCCCGAGAACGGAGGCAUCCGUCCCCGGCCGCGGCACCGCCCAGCGCGGCCUCGUGUCGAGCGGCGAGCCUUGAGGAAAUGUUUGUCGUGCAACUGACAUGGGCAAUAAACUGAUAAAUGAAUGGAAGGAACGGCGGCAAAGCCGAUCCCACCCCGUGGCACACACAGCCGCACCCCCUGGACGAGCAACACGGGUGCUGGUGCCCACAGCAAUUCCUCAUCCCACUUUGUCAAGGGUGGGAGCUGGGUCAGACCUGAAACCUGCUCCUCCCAGCAGCACCUGCUGGCAUCUCUGAGGGACAGCAAAAUUCUCUUUCAUUUGAUUUUAAUAAAUGAAAUAGAAUUCUUCCUAUGCAAAAGCU